rnacentral:rRNA from 1 species
UGAAUUGCAGAAUCCCGUGAACCAUCGAGUCUUUGAACGCAAGUUGCGCCCCAAGCCAUCAGGCCGAGGGCACGUCUGCCUGGGUGUCACGCAUCGUUGCCCCCCCCACACAAACCCCCCCGGGGGAAGGUGUCGGGGCCGGGCGGAGACUGGCCUCCCGUGCGCUGCCCGCUCGCGGUUGGCCCAAAUCCGAGUCUUUCGGCGACCGAGCCGCGACGAUCGGUGGUGAGAACAAGCCUCUCGAGCUCCAGUCGCGCGCCCGCGUCCCCGUGUCAGGGACUCGCGGACCCUUUGCACGCCCUCUGGGCGAUGCUCGCUUCGCGACCCCAGGUCAGGCGGGACUACCCGCUGAGUUUAAGCAUAUCAAUAAGCGGAGGAAAAGAAACUUACCAGGAUUCCCCUAGUAACGGCGAGCGAACCGGGAAGAGCCCAGCUUGAAAAUCGGGCGUCCGCGACGUCCGAAUUGU